UAUUCGAUUUACAUGUAUAAAUAAGAUUUUUUUGGCAAUAACAAGUAUACAUUUAUUAUCUAAGUUAACAAUUAAAAACUGAAAUACGGACACCUGGAUAGCAUUUCCCCGUGAUUAUUCCCAAGAAACCCCUCAACACCAUGGGCUUUAAAGAGUAAAUAGCUGCCCGACAUAAGGGACAGUAUGGUCAGUCUAGAAUUCAAGACAAAUAGUUGGAUUAUUCUUGUAGUUCCCUCCAUUGAUUUGGGGACAGCAACAAAGGCAUAGGGGUACGUGUCAAUCACAUUUUAAAUCUUACAGACAAAUGGCCCCAGAUUCGGCGCCCAACUUUCUUUUCCAAAAUCCACCUCCAAUUGUUGUAUCGUGCACCACACGAUACACAUUAAACCCCCUAUAUUAAAAUAGCGCGUUAUCAUCACUGCUUUUUUUUUUCUUUUCCACGUGAGCGUUGCCAUCGAAGAAGCCCAUAGCCCAUAGCUUUUUGGGUGAUUUACCGUUUGACCCAUUGGAAAACCCUAGUCCCCACAACUCCCCCCAACAUAUUCACCCUGCGCCGGCUUACCUCACUGUCCCUUGAAUCUCAUCAAAUUACCACCUUGCCAUCGCAUCCGUUUUCCUAUAUAAUCGUCGCCUUUGUUAUUCUUUAGGUUUGCCGAAAUAGAGAGCAAAACGGCACUUCCAAGGUUUGAUUAUUUCUUUUGGAUUCUGUCCUGCGGAUCGUGACAGUGGCCUCUUGGCGAAUUGAUCUAUGACUCGAAGCAAAAAGUACAGAUGGACCAAAAACAAAUUGAAUAACCCUUAAAGAGUAAAUAUUGCAAUUGCAAUUUACUUGUAAAAAGGAUAGGGGUGGCCCCUUACAAAAGUGAUUGAAAAAAUGAAAUUUACCACUGAAGAGUAAAGAGUGAAGAUUCCAAAUGUUUGAUGACUUGCCAGAAUGAAAAAGAGAAAAGAAAUUAAAGGGUUAUUCAUAAUAGUGUUGAGACUUUUUUUUGUGAAAAUGAUGUACAAAAGGAGCAUCGUGGGGUCAGGCAGCGUUGGGCAAGUCUAAAAUUAAAUAGAGACUAAAAAUUGAUUAUUUCAACUGCUAUUCGAAAUGGUAGUUGAUUUUUUGGCA